rnacentral:misc_RNA from 1 species
UGGAGAAAAGCGGGAUUAAAGUGUGUUUGUAUUUGUUUGGUAACUGAUUGCUAAUUCGGUUCUGUUAUCUAGAUAAAUUAGCAUUAAAAGUCAAGUAAUGUGCAUUUGUAACGAAAACGCAAGAAAAUAAUUUUGGAACCGAUUUCAUAAAUGUAUUAAUAUAUCACAUUCCCGCUCAUAUGAUCUAAUUUCUUUUCUCUCAAACAAAAUUCCCUCUUUAUCUUCACAUCUAAGCUUGAUUUUUUCACCCUGAACGCAAAAAGACUUAGUGGGUGCAAAGCAAGGAAUAUGUCAAAUGUCUGCCAACUGUUUUAUUAUAUACAUAAGAAAACUCAUUCAAAGGACAAUGUUUGUGGUGUUUGAGAAAAAGCUGCUCUGUGAAUAUUUGUGCUAUUUCAGUGAACUUUUCAGUGAAAUCAUACAGUCGUUCUGUAUCAUCCUCCAUUGGAUCCCAUGCACAUUCGUCUGCAAUCCUGUGUGCACCACACUUUAUGCAACGGAUCACUGCUCCUGUCAUACUGGGAUUAGGCAAGCAAUCUGAUGGCAGUGUUGAGCUCACACCAACAUCUGAAACUAACAUCAUUCAACAUGCAUAUGUUUGUUAAGUUGGUAUUGCAGCAUAAGUCCAAAUCAUUAUCAAAUGUGCUAAUGAAUAAGUAACUAAUAAUCACUCAUAGCAUUAAAUUUAUUUAAUCAAAAUUUACUUAAUGCAAAACCAUUGUACUUUUUUAUAAUUAAAUGCACAGAAAAUAUCAGUAAAGGGGAAGUUGUAGCGGCAAUAAAAUCAGAAACUUUUUGAGGAAGUUAAGAUCUCUUUUUGUAAAACAUGAUGAUGAAUUUUAUAUUUCAUAAAAGGAAAGGAAAAGGAAAAAAAAAAGUAAUACCAGUGUAAUUGUUUUCAAAAUAAUGUUUUCACUUUUAAAUGACAGAAACAAAUUUACAUUAAUAAAUAAAAACACCACCAAUAAGGUUUAUAAAUUGAAUCCCUACACCAAUUGUGCCAUUGUGUUCUGCGUAUGUGCAGUUGGAUUAACGAUACUACAAAAAGUGUUAGAAAUAAAAUUUUGGAUAUAAAUCCAGAAUUUAAUAAUAAAAGAAAUAAUAAUAAAUAAUAAAAUUAAAAGAUAUAAUAUAUAUAAAACACAAACAAAUUAGGCUAUUAUGUUUGGAUCUUCAAUAAGAACACUGUAAAUGUAAAUUCAUUGCAAAAAAAAUUUUUUUUCAAAAGAAAGUUCAUCACUUAUUGUUAUCCCAAAGCGCGUUAGCCCAGAAGGGCUAUUAACUUCCUUUUGGCAUUUUGUGGCGUUUCACUAUAAACGGAGUUUCACUUUUCAAAUCUUGUAUUAUAUUAAAAGAAAUUAAAUAAUGAAGAAUCUGCAUA